rnacentral:rRNA from 1 species
UAGGGAAUCUUCGGCAAUGGACGGAAGUCUGACCGAGCAACGCCGCGUGAGUGAAGAAGGUUUUAGGAUCGUAAAGCUCUGUUGUUAGAGAAGAACGUUGGUAGGAGUGGAAAAUCUACCAAGUGACGGUAACUAACCAGAAAGGGACGGCUAACUACGUGCCAGCAGCCGCGGUACUACGUAGGUCCCGAGCGUUGUCCGGAGUUAUUGGGCGUAAAGCGAGCGGAGGCGGUUCUUUAAUGCUGAAGUUAAAGGCAGUGGUUUAACCAUUGUACGAUUUGGAAACUGGAAGACUUGAGUGCAGAAGGGGAGAGUGGAAUUCCAUGUAUAGCGGUGAAAUGCGUAGAUAUAUGGAGGAACAACGGUGGCGAAGGCGUCUCUCUGGUCUGAGACUGACGCUGAGGCUCGAAAGCGUGGGGAGCAAACAGG